AAUCUUCGGCAAUGGACGAAAGUCUGACCGAGCGAUGCCGCGUGAGUGAUGCAGGUCUUCGGAUCGUAAAGCUCUGUUAUUAGGGAAGAAAAGUAAUAAGAGGCAAUGCUUAUUAUGUGACGGUACCUAAUGAGAAAGCCACGGCUAACUACGUGCCAGCAGCCGCGGUAAUACGUAGGGGGCAAGCGUUGUCCGGAAUUAUUGGGCGUAAAGGGUGCGUAGGCGGCCUUUUAAGUCAGAUGUGAAAGCCCACGGCUUAACCGUGGGACUGCAUUUGAAACUGGAGGGCUUGAGUAUCGGAGAGGGUAGUGGAAUUCCCAGUGUAGCGGUGGAAUGCGUAGAUAUUGGGAGGAACACCAGUGGCGAAGGCGACUACCUGGACGAAAACUGACGCUGAGGCACGAAAGCUAGGGGAGCAAAC
rnacentral:rRNA from 1 species